GUCCAGCCGACAGGUGGGCCCCACCCAGCUGUCUUCCACCUCCAGUUGGUCUCCCGACCGAGAACGCAACCCGCGCGCGUAUCCUGCGCAUGAUCUCACCGAUCCCUCCGAUCCGUCUGCGAUUCGCUCGCAUACGCACAACCCCGAACAGCCGUCGAUCUCCUCUCUCGAUCCCUUGCCUUGCCUCGCACAACCGAGCAGGGAAUCGAGCGCAGCGACCUUGCGGAUCUUCGCCUCGUCGCCGGUACUUCAUCGACGAAAUUCGUCGCCGCCUAUGCUCGGGUUCGAGCUCCCCAGCCAACCCGAUCUCGUCGGAGCUCCCAUCGCCAGCAGCCCCUCCGCCGGCGAAUUUGGCGCCACCAAGGGAGAGAAUCAAACCUAGCACGCCGAGCUUGCCCGGAGCAAAUCACCGCCACCCGUCGCUCCACCCGUACACUGUCAUCGCCUGACGACGCCCCGUCGUCACUGACCUCACAACCUUCUUCUCCGUCACUCUGCGCACCUGCUGGUCCACCCUCCCAGUCGCCUUGGUCCACCGGAGAGGCCACACCGAGAAACGCCAUAGCCACACCGACAUCGGAGCUCCAAACGCCACUGCAGCGCUAGCAGAGGACGCUCACAUCUCCGUCGAAGCUACCAUCGUCUCCGUCAUCGCAAGCUGCAUCCGCCCGUCACCUCAUCUUCGCCGGAGAGCCACCGGAGGAGCGCCGCCACCCACGCCCGAAGCCGUCGCCGUUUUCCCCCUGCUUCGAUUGCUCGGAGCGUGACUAGUAGAAUUAUCAGGAUUGUGAGUGCGACGAUCUUCAUCCAACGUACCAGGCAAGUUACACCUUGAUCAUCCUUCAUCCUAUUAUUUUUCUAUGCAUGUAGUUAUAUAUAUCACAAUACACAUUAUGCAUGUGUAGGAAUAUUAUGGUAGUAUGCUAUUGCGUUUGAGAUGCAGUUAGUAUGGCCUUAUUGUAGACCGCAGUAGUGUAUUCUUGCUACGCUAUGUAGGCGGGGAUUGGUUCGUGUAUUCAUCGAGAUUUUGUGAGGACUAUAUAUAAUAUAACUUGAGUAAAAACAUAAUAUAUAAUUCACCUCUGGACGGACAGGGUUGCAUCAUGGUUUCUUGUUCCUUUUCUAAGGGCAUGGACCAUGGCUAAGUGCACGUGAACAAUAUUGCUGGGUGGUUUCAAGAACAUCAUGGUUUAUACCCUCUGAAUGUAAGUGGGUGCCAUUCAGGCUCAAAAAGAUCAGACAGACUUAGUGACUAUAGUAGCUUCCAUGUACAACCACUGCUAAUAUGCGCUCUGGCUUAGUUGAUCAAUUGUGGAGACCUUACCCGGAUGUGCCAGCAAAUGUAGCUAUGAUAGUUGGGAUGGGCCUCCUUUGGGACUAGGCGACUACUUCUGAAAGACUAUGUCUCAAUCUUCGGGUUGAGUCCAGUGGGUAAAAUGUACAAAUCUCUGCAGAGUGUAUAAACUAAUCAUGAUUAGCCGUGUUCUCGGUUAUGGACAAAUUUGAGCCACUAUGCCAUUACAGUUGUUGGAUCAUCUUGACAGAUGAUACCUUAAUAAAAAUUGAGUGGGAAACUUAAUAAUUGGGAUAGGUUGGAAUUGGAUUGCCCAAUUCAACCAUAUGUAUUCAAUUGUAGCAAGACAUAAAUAAAAUUUGACUAUUAUAUUAUGUAGUUAUCAGGGAAAAACUAGCUUUCUGCAAAACAACCACUACAAUAUCCUCUUGAUACACCUUGCAUAUCUCUACUCCUAAUGUCUCAGUUGGUAGGUCGCGUUCCGGGUUUAAUUUUCGUCCCACCUCACCCGAUCUUUUUUGGUACUUCCUCUCACCUCACACUGAGCCGCCAUGAACCAAAAAAACCUCGUAUUGAGGCUCCCACCCGCCCCCACGCACCCAUCUACAAAGCAAAGGAAAAAAACCUACGAAAAUUAACCAAUGAAAAAAACCUACGAAAAUUAACCAGCAAAAAAACCUAAACCAAUCGCACGCACGACUCUCCUGCCCUCCACUCGCACGCCCGACUCUCCUGCCCUCCACUCGCACGCCCGACUCUCCUGCCCUCCACUCGCACCCGACUCACUGCCCUCGUUCGCGGCCGCCCUCCAUCCCUUCGCCGCCGCCAAGACCCCGCCGGAUCUCACCGCCGCCGAUCUCCUCGAGAAGACCCUGUCGGAUCUCACCGUCGCCGAUCUCCUCGAGAAGACCCUGCCGGAUCUCACCGCCGUCGAUCUCCUCGCGAAGAUCCCGCCGGAUCUCGCUGCCGCCGUAACUCCAUAAAGCCGCCGCCGCCGAUCCCCUCCAGAAAACCCCGCCAAUCCCCUCCGGAAGACCCCGCCGAAUCUUGCGUCGGGGCCACGGUUCUGGAUCGCCGUCGCAGGGCGGUUUCAACCAGAGCCGGCGGCCUUGAGGAGAGGAGCUCGACGAGCGGGCAGGGUGAUCCCGUGCCUUGGAGACGGCGACCCUCAACCCCUUGCUGCUGUGGUGCACUGGGCACAUCUGUGACGAGGAGGAGGCGAGCCACAAUUCAUCACCUUCCUCGUCUCUCUCAUGGCUGUGCACAAGGAUGUCCGCACCCCGAGCCGAGCUCUGUUUGACCGGAGGACAAGCAGAGGAAAGGCGAACAGGGGUGAUGACAUGGCUCCUGAGCAAGGUGAACAUCGCCUUUAAGGCGAGCGGUGGCGGCCCCUUAUCUUGGGCCCCUACAAUAAGUAAACUCAACAUGCGUGAUUCUGAUUAGAGGCAACCGGAUCGUUAUUGAACAUAUUGAUGAUUCCUGUUGUGUAUUCUCAAGGAAUGGUCAGGUUUAGUACUGUAACUAUUUUCUUAUCAAAUAUAUUUGGGUGGUGCUCAAAAUGCAGAGCUGAAAAGCAAGAAACGUAAAGCCACCUCUGAAGAUAAGUUCACCAUGCCUCCCAGAGUGUCACCCCGCUUCGUUGAACUUAAUGGAAUAAGAUCAGAUCAGAAUAACCUUUGUAAACUAGGCAACUGAAUCAUUUCAUUGUUGCUUGUCCAUGUAACGAAGAACUAUCAUUUGGGUACCAAGUUCCACUUCAGGCCAGGAAAAUUUCUUAUAACUUCAAAACGGCAAGGGAUGCACCAUUGUCUUCAGGUCUGCCUUGCAGGUUGGAGUGCAGCUUUCAGAUAUCUUUCUUUCCUUGGGAUAGUUGGAAUGGAAUACUAUGACUAGAUAUACAAUGGUAUUGUUAUCAGUGUUCGGCCUUCAAUGAUUUCGGUGCAGCAUGUCUAGACCAUCAACGGCAAUUUGAGCUCCUUAGUGAAGUAGGUCUGUAAGGCGUUGCUUCAACUCAAGAAAAUCAAUGGCCACAAUUGGGAAGUUGACUGACAAUCCAAAGAGAGUGCCAAUUUUCAAUCUCGUGUUUAGGUGCUUACAUCAAUCUCGUGCAUAGUCUCGAUCACCACCACCGGGGCAGCUACUUCUGCUGGCAGGGGCUGGGCGCCGCCGUGAGGAUGCUAUCACCCAUGCACGCAGUGAUGGCAUGGUGGCCGAAGAAGGCCGUCUUCUGGGGAGCCGCGCGCUGGCCGCCAUCUCCACCCGCGGCCACACCAACAAGACAGGUGAUUUUAGGGUUGGUUCUGUCUGAAACCAAGCUAGCAGUAAUAUGCAGAGAAGGUUCGCCUGACAUAAUGACCAACGAGAGCAAGUUGUUUUUUCUUGAUGAAAAUGAUAGCUACCACUUGAUGAGAUUUAGCAAUACAAGCAUUUCCUCUAAUUUUAUUUGUAGGUAAUCCUUUAAGCUCCAAGGAAAUAGCUGAAUGUCACUACCAAAUUAAAUUACCUUUGUACAGAAAAUACGUGGAGUUAUGUGAUCUGCAAGUGAGCAGCUCUCUCACCAACGAGUUAAUAACAUUAAAAUAGGUCUGCAGGAGGUGCCUUUGAGAACUUGAUCAGCUACUCGAGCUUCAUUGUCAGCGAAGUCUCCACUGGGUUGCCCAGAUCUGUCCUGAAUUGCUUCAUUGAUGACAAUUUGGAGAAGGCUCCGCUGACACUUACAAAGGAUGUUUUCCUUUGUUGGAAAGACGAGGAUACGCUGGAGAUAGACAUGGGGUGGUAAGAAAAUGAUGAGUUCCUGAUGAUAUUAUGCUUGCUGGUCUAAACCUACAUGUAUUAUGUCAGUUUGUUGUUAAGAGUAUCUUGAAAAUAUAAAGCCACUGGGUGGCCAGGCAUUCUAUACUAUCGUCUUUCCAAGAGCCCACAUUUCUGCAUGUAUAUAUUUGUUGUACAGCCUAUGCUGGUUUGCCUACAAUAAUUAUCAGAAGGUAAUAUGCAGCAGCCAAAUUCUCUC